UGGGGGAUAUUGCACAAUGGGCGAAAGCCUGAUGCAGCGACGCCGCGUGGGGGAUGAAGGCCUUCGGGUUGUAAACUUCUUUUGCUCUGAACAAGGCAUGCUAAUGGGUGUGUUGAGUGUAGGGGUUGAUUAGCGCCGGCUAACUACGUGCCAGCAGCCGCGGUAAUACGUAGGGCGCGAGCGUUGUCCGGAAUUAUUGGGCGUAAAGGGCUUGUAGGUGGCUGGUUGCGUCUGUCGUGAAAGCUCAUGGCUUAACUGUGGGUUUGCGGUGGGUACGGGCUGGCUUGAGCGCAGUAGGGGAGGCUGGAAUUCCUGGUGUAGCGGUGGAAUGCGCAGAUAUCAGGAGGAAUACCGGUGGCGAAGGCGGGUCUCUGGGCUGUUACUGACACUGAGGAGCGAAAGCAUGGGGAGCGAACAGG
rnacentral:rRNA from 1 species